rnacentral:rRNA from 1 species
CCUACGGGUGGCAGCAGUGAGGAAUAUUGGUCAAUGGGCGCAAGCCUGACCCAGCAACGCCGCGUGAAGGAAGAAGGCUUUCGGGUUGUAAACUUCUUUUAUGAGGGACGAAACAAAUGACGGUACCUCAUGAAUAAGCCACGGCUAACUACGUGCCAGCAGCCGCGGUAAUACGUAGGUGGCAAGCGUUAUCCGGAUUUACUGGGUGUAAAGGGCGUGUAGGCGGGACUGCAAGUCAGAUGUGAAAAUUAUGGGCUCAACCCAUAACCUGCAUUUGAAACUGUAGUUCUUGAGUGAUGGAGAGGCAGGCGGAAUUCCGUGUGUAGCGGUGAAAUGCGUAGAUAUACGGAGGAACACCAGUGGCGAAGGCGGCCUGCUGGACAUUAACUGACGCUGAGGCGCGAAAGCGUGGGGAGCAAACAGGAUUAGAUACCCUU